UGAAACUGUCAUUCAAUUUUCUCUUACGUACGUUUUUGAAAAAGAAAACCAUUUCUACAACCAAUAUAAAUACAAGCAGACAGAAUCACAUAUUCAUUCGUAACUACUUUCCUUUUCGAGUUAUUCAUCGCGAUAGAAUUAAUUUUAUUUUUUGAAUUGUUCCAACUUCGGUGCAUCGAACAUAAUCAACAACCAGUACACAAGACAGGAUAAAGAAAUCACUUUCGAGUUCUUAUCAAUACUGGAACAAAUUGCAGAUCCAAGCCUAUUCCGGAUGCGAACCGGAAUGUUUCACCGUAACCGUAACUGGAAUCCGGAAAUGGCCCGAACAUUUUUGGUAUUGAGCGUGAUUCUAGCCUCAAAAGUCGAGAAACUGAGUUCGACUAACUUCAUUCCCAGCAAAAAUGAAGAUGCAAGAAAGAAAAUUCAGUAUGGUGUAGCUAGAUUGAAAAUUUCCUUAAAAUAUCUAUCUACUGCCAAGGUAAGUUGAAUUUA